rnacentral:rRNA from 1 species
UACGUAGGGUGCAAGCGUUAAUCGGAAUUACUGGGCGUAAAGCGUGCGCAGGCGGUUAUGUAAGACAGGUGUGAAAUCCCCGGGCUUAACCUGGGAACUGCAUUUGUGACUGCAUAGCUAGAGUACGGUAGAGGGGGAUGGAAUUCCGCGUGUAGCAGUGAAAUGCGUAGAUAUGCGGAGGAACACCGAUGGCGAAGGCAAUCCCCUGGACCGGUACUGACGCUCAUGCACGAAAGCGUGGGGAGCAAACAGG